rnacentral:rRNA from 1 species
ACCUGGGAAUUGCAUUGGUGACUGCACGGCUAGAGUGUGUCAGAGGGGGGUAGAAUUCCACGUGUAGCAGUGAAAUGCGUAGAGAUGUGGAGGAAUACCGAUGGCGAAGGCAGCCCCCUGGGAUAACACUGACGCUCAUGCACGAAAGCGUGGGGAGCAAACAGGAUUAGAUACCCUGGUAGUCCACGCCCUAAACGAUGUCAACUAGUUGUUGGGGAUUCAUUUCCUUAGUAACGUAGCUAACGCGUGAAGUUGACCGCCUGGGGAGUACGGUCGCAAGAUUAAAACUCAAAGGAAUUGACGGGGACCCGCACAAGCGGUGGAUGAUGUGGAUUAAUUCGAUGCAACGCGAAAAACCUUACCUACCCUUGACAUGCCACUAACGAAGCAGAGAUGCAUUAGGUGCUCG